GAUGAACGCUGGCGGCGUGCCUAAUACAUGCAAGUCGAGCGAACGGACGAGAAGCUUGCUUCUCUGAUGUUAGCGGCGGACGGGUGAGUAACACGUGGAUAACCUACCUAUAAGACUGGGAUAACUUCGGGAAACCGGAGCUAAUACCGGAUAAUAUUUUGAACCGCAUAGUUCAAAAGUGAAAGACGGUCUUGCUGUCACUUAUAGAUGGAUCCGCGCUGCAUUAGCUAGUUGGUAAGGUAACGGCUUACCAAGGCAACGAUGCAUAGCCGACCUGAGAGGGUGAUCGGCCACACUGGAACUGAGACACGGUCCAGACUCCUACGGGAGGCAGCAGUAGGGAAUCUUCCGCAAUGGGCGAAAGCCUGACGGAGCAACGCCGCGUGAGUGAUGAAGGUCUUCGGAUCGUAAAACGCUGUUAUUAGGGAAGAACAUAUGUGUAAGUAACUGUGCACAUCUUGACGGUACCUAAUCAGAAAGCCACGGCUAACUACGU
rnacentral:rRNA from 1 species